ensembl:lncRNA
CUCUGCGUCCAUCCACACAGACUGCCUGACCUUUUGGCUUUAAAGAUUUUUUUCUUUCUGCUUUCUCAGCUGUUAUUUUACAUUUUUUUGUCUCCAGCAUUCAUUCAGGCUUAAUUUCCUGUCUACUGCUCAUCAGCUUCAUGAAGAGGGCUUCAAGGUGAGUUUAAGUCGUGAACCAACAAAACAGCUGCAGACAACAGUUGGCUGUAGUCAUUUUUUCUUAUUUCUUAAUUACAUCUUGCAUGGAUAAAAAACAUCUUCUUCUGUUGUUCUGUCUUUAGCUCUACGCCACAGAGGGUACAUCAGCUUGGCUCAAUGCUAAUGAUGUUCCAACCAUCUCUGUUGCUUGGCCCAGCCAGGAAAGCAAAAAUACAACCUUACCCAGCAUCAGCAGACUUAUCAGUGAAGGACACAUUGACCUAGUGGUCAACUUACCCAAUAACAACACUAAGUUCCUCAAGGACAACUUUCAGAAGUUGUUUCAGAAUGGUGGUGGAUUAUGGAGUACCACUUAUCACAAACUUCCAGGUCAGCCUUCUCUCUUAAUUGUAUCAUAAUUCAUUUUUCUUCUAGUAUUAAACACCUGUUUCCCUUUUCUGCAGGUAGUAAAGCUGUUUGCAGAAGCCAUUAGGUAUUCCAUUGAUUUAGACGCCACCAGCCUGUUCCACUACCGUCAACGUGAGCCCAGACUGUCGGAGAGCUCUGCUGCAUGGUUAACUUCUAACCUCUAAAACAGAGGACUCAGCUCAAAAAUUUGUCAGGAUCUUCAGAGGAGGCCGGCAGCUGCAGUUGUCUCUGUCCCUGUGCUGAUCGAGUGUGCAUACUCAGCCAUACUGAAUAAUGCACGGCACCUGCCUGGGCUGAAGGAGGCCUGCUGUGUGCUGAAGAAAGAAAAAUACAGAUCGCUAAUUGACUUUGGUUCCUCAUGCUAUGCUAAUGAAUAUUCCAUGAGGCAGGGAUGAGGCACAAUGCGUGCCGUCCUGUGAGGAGCCACUGCCAUACUUGGAACAAAACUGGCCACUGCCACAUACAUCAUGAUCUGGCCAGACUUGUAUCCAACAGAGGACAGAAGGAAGGGAAAUUCCUUUUCAACUCUGCUACAGAUUUCUAUCAUGUUUUAACAGGACAACUAGGACUACCAGUUACUGUACAUGAAGAUGAAAAGAAACAUCAAGAUUGCAAAUGUGUAGCACCGUUUUUGUAUUGUGCUUACGGAUCGAAAAACUGCCAGUAAGAGCUGUUUUGCUUUUCCAGGGAAUGAAAGUGUGGCAUAUAUUGUGGGUAUGGAGAGCAGAAGGGGUCUUUACCUCCUCCUCUUCUCACCAGUUCCUCUCUGCAGGGUGCUUUCCUACAACUAUGACACUUGAACUGUGCCAGCUAAUAGACCAGGGUGAAUAAUCAAUAUCUGAACUACAACAUUCUCAAAAUGCUGGAUUUUGAAAUGGUGCUAAAGUUUACAUAGCUGCAACAUACUUAGAGUAUAGAGUUUGUCAAGUCAAGUAGAGUCACCUUUAUUUAUAUAGCACCCAAGAGCAGCAUGUACCGUGUGAAAAGUAAAAGUCCUAGUACUGAGCCCUGCAGUUCUCCAUACACUUGUAAAUGAUAUGACACAAUUUUCAUUUACUGCUACAAAUUGAUAAGAUUGAAGACAUAGUCUAACAGUGCAAAUAUAUCUAUGACUGCUCUAUUUAGGGACUCUCUACAGGUGUAUCUUUUCAAUUCUUGCUCCAUUCAGUUCAUUAUGCAAAAGUUUAACAUGAUAAUGUAAUUCUCCUAAUUUCUCUAUUACAUAAGAAUGGAUUUGAUGCCUUAUGUUGCUUGUGUUCUUGUUUUCUACAAACUUCAGCAUGCAUACAGUAAUGCCUUCAUUUGCAUGUUUUCAUUUUGCUAGACAUUUUUAGAGAGAGGGAAACAAGAUGCUUGCAGGCUGAUUACUUCUCCUCUGUGACUUUUAGUUAAACAUCAGCCCACAUCCAAUUCUCUUUGCUAUGUCAUGUUUUUCUCUCCUGUCAUCUCAGUCUCUAAGUUCCUUUCUCAUAGCACUGUACUCCCUGCUCCCUCCCUUUGCAUCUCUUUUUAAUAAACACCCACUGAACUUCACGUCUUAAUUUGAGAUAUAAUUUAAAAUAUUAAUUCUGCUUGCGAUGUGAAAGGGCUUUCUCAGAACUGAUAGUAUAGCCUGUGAUCAAGGUGCACUACACUCACAUUCCAUAUGGAAUGCAAAUUUUAUAUUUUAUUUUAUUUUUUAUUUUAUUUUAGGGCCUUGUGGCCUUUAUUUCACAUAGAAAUGGACAAGGAUAUGAUGGGAUUGAGCUAAAAUUGAAUUAUUUGGCCUCAACACCAAACGAUACGUCUGACGGAAAUCCAAUACAGCUCAACAUCCAAAUAACACCAUUCCUGUAGUAAAGCAUGGAGGUGGUAAUAUCCGGUUAUAGGGUGUUUCUCUGCAGCAGGGACUAGAGCACUUGUCAUGAUAGAAGGAAACAUGGAUAGGGCAAAAUACCGUCAAAUUCUUGAGAAAAAUCUGCUGCCCUCUGCCAGAAAGUUUUCAAUGGGAAGAAGGUUUACUUCUAACAUGACAGUGACCCACAACACACACUAAAACUGAGCACACAGUGGUUAAAGGAGAAAAAGGUGAAUGUCCUUGCAUGGCCUAGUCAGAGCACAGACGUAAACCCCAUUGAAAAUCUGUGGAAAGACUUGAAGACUGCAGUCCAAAAAUGGUCACCAUCAAAUUUAACUGAACUUUUAACUGAAUAGUGGGCAAAUAUUGCAAAGACUAGAUGUCCAAAGUUUAAUCCCAACAGAAUAAAGGCUGUAAUUAAAGCAAAAGGUGGUUUAACUAAAUACUGACACAAGGGGGUGAACUCAAUUUAUUUAUUUUUUUCUGACGUUGGUGUUCUUUCACUUUGAUGUUAUAAGUUGCACUGAGUAAAUGCAGUUGGAUAAAACAAAAACUGUAUCCGUGUUCAUUUCAGGCUGCAAAGCAGCAAAAUUUGAUUAUUUUAAAGAGGGGUAAUACUUUUCUAUACCCACUGUACCAACUUUAACCCUAAUAAACUAAUGUAAUAUAAAUGUAAGCAAAAACUUUCUCUGUAUGGGGGAAAAAAAUAGGAUGUAGCAGCCAAUCAGUUAGGCUUGGCAUCUUACUGUUGUGGGUGAGCUUUUG